rnacentral:rRNA from 1 species
GAUGAACGCUGGCGGCGUGCCUAAUACAUGCAAGUCGAGCGAACGGACGAGAAGCUUGCUUUUCUGAUGUUAGCGGCGGACGGGUGAGUAACACGUGGAUAACCUACCUAUAAGACUGGGAUGACUUCGGGAAACCGGAGCUAAUACCGGAUAAUAUUUUGAACCGCAUGGUUCAAAAGUGAUAGACGGUCUUGCUGUCACUUAUAGAUGGAUCCGCGCUGCAUUAGCUAGUUGGUAAGGUAACGGCUUACCAAGGCAACGAUGCAUAGCCGACCUGAGAGGGUGAUCGGCCACACUGGAACUGAGACACGGUCCAGACUCCUACGGGAGGCAGCAGUAGGGAAUCUUCCGCAAUGGGCGAAAGCCUGACGGAGCAACGCCGCGUGAGUGAUGAAGGUCUUCGGAUCGUAAAACUCUGUUAUUAGGGAAGAACAUAUGUGCAAGUAACUGUGCACAUCUUGACGGUACCUAAUCAGAAAGCCACGGCUAACUACGUG